UGGGGGAUAUUGCACAAUGGGGGAAACCCUGAUGCAGCAACGCCGCGUGAAGGAAGAAGGUCUUCGGAUUGUAAACUUUUGUCUUGCGGGACGAAUAAUGACGGUACCGCAGGAGGAAGCCACGGCUAACUACGUGCCAGCAGCCGCGGUAAUACGUAGGUGGCGAGCGUUGUCCGGAAUUACUGGGUGUAAAGGGUGCGUAGGCGGAUUUGCAAGUCAGACGUGAAAUCUAGCGGCUGAACCGGUAGCCUGCGUUUGAAACGGUGAGUCUUGAGUGGUGAAGGGGUAAGCGGAAUUCCUAGUGUAGCGGUGAAAUGCGUAGAUAUUAGGAGGAACACCAGUGGCGAAGGCGGCUUACUGGGCACUAACUGACGCUGAGGCACGAAAGCAUGGGGAGCAAACA
rnacentral:rRNA from 1 species